rnacentral:lncRNA from 1 species
CUUGGUGUUCUGCAAGACACAUGGAAGGCCUGAAGAAAAAUUCUAGCCACUGUCUGGCCGUUGUGUGUUUACCUUAGAUGUUCUCCUCCUUAACUCCUGGGUCUCAGUCCCAGGGAGUCAACAUAGAAGGCAUUCAGACCAGCUCCAUGGUCCUGGCCCUGGCCCAGUGCUCUCUGCCAGAUUCUAAACACACCUGCUAAACAGAUUCUUUUCUCUCAGCACUCUGCUGACAUUUUCAGCUGGAACCAAAGUCCCUCUCUUGGUCCACAGCAUUCCUCCGCCUGCUCACUGGAUCAUUUGUCCACCCCAUUCCUCAGGAGCUGCUCCUUGAUUCUGACUGGAAAUUCCUUCUAAAUCAAAAGAAAACCUGAUCCAAACCUGAGGGACGGCUGGGAAAUGAUUGAAUGUUAAUCAUCUUCUGUAGGAAAAAACGAAAGCAAGAGCUUCCUGUUCAGAGUUCUUCCUCCUUCUCCUUGGGACCAGGGGCCUUCACCUGAAGUUGACCUGAGGUGUCAUGCACAUUUGACACAUGAAAAAAACUCAGAAAAGCUCAAGAAUUUGUCCGAAGACUCCUAAUUGGUGACUGGGCUAGAUGGACCCCAAGCCUGUGGUUAGGGGGUUUCACCUGUCACCUCUAACAAAGAUGUAGAUGACUGAGCCAGUCACCUCCAUGGAAUUCAGCCUGUAGAAGGGAUAUCCGAGAUGACAAGGGCCUCUGCCAAAUAUGUGGUGUGUGGAUGAAAAUGAGGAAGUCACAUCCACCCCUUGGGGUUGCUGUGUGGAGUCCUGGACUUACAGAAGCGCUUGGUGGAGAGCAGUAGGUGCUCACUAAGAGUUAGGCGGCUGGGUGGCAGAGGUGGAGCCCUCUACUGGCUGGGGCGCUGCGGAGCAAGGCUUGCUGGUGUCCCAGGGAAGAGGAUUUCUGGCUGCGCUCUGGGAUGCGGAAGUAAGGGGAAGCCACCUGAGAACCCCACUUUCUUGUGGCAAAGUCCUGUGAGCAGCUUUAGAACAAUGUAACUAG